GGAAUUGCUAGUAAUGGCAGGUCAGCAUACUGCCGUGAAUACGUUCCCGGGCCUUGUACACACCGCCCGUCACACCAUGAGAGUUGGGAAUACCCGAAGCCUGUGAGCUAACAUUUAUGAGGCAGCAGUCGAAGGUAGAAUCAAUGAUUGGGGUGAAGUCGUAACAAGGUAGC
rnacentral:rRNA from 1 species